rnacentral:rRNA from 1 species
AGUCAACAUGCCCAAGGGACGUGGAUAACCUCGGGAAACUGAGAAUAAACCACGAUAGGUCAUGAUUUCUGGAAUGGAUCAUGGCUCAAAUCUACAUGGCCCCUGGAUUGGACUGCGGCCGAUCAGGCAGUUGGUGAGGUAAAGGCCCACCAAACCUAUAACCGGUACGGGCUCUGAGAGGAGAAGCCCGGAGAUGGGCACUGAGACAAGGGCCCAGGCCCUAUGGGGCGCAGCAGGCGCGAAACCUCUGCAAUAGGCGAAAGCCUGACAGGGUUACUCUGAGUGAUUUCCGCUAAGGGGAUCUUUUGGCACCUCUAAAAAUGGUGCAGAAUAAGGGGUGGGCAAGUCUGGUGUCAGCCGCCGCGGUAAUACCAGCACCCCGAGUGGUCGGGACGAUUAUUGGGCCUAAAGCAUCCGUAGCCGGUUCUGCAAGUCUUCCGUUAAAUCCAGCAGCUCAACGGAUGGGCCGCGGAGGAUACUACAGGACUAGGAGGCGGGAGAGGCAAGCGGUACUCAGUGGGUAGGGGUAAAAUCCUUUGAUCCAUUGAAGACCACCAGUGGCGAAGGCGGCUUGCCAGAACGCGCUCGACGGUGAGGGAUGAAAGCUGGGGGAGCAAACCGGAUUAGAUACCCGGGUAGUCCCAGCUGUAAACGAUGCAGACUCGGUGAUGGGCUAGCCUUGUGCCAGCCCAGUGCCGCAGGGAAGCCGUUAAGUCUGCCGCCUGGGGAGUACGGUCGCAAGACUGAAACUUAAAGGAAUUGGCGGGGGAGCACCACAAGGGGUGAAGCCUGCGGUUCAAUUGGAGUCAACGCCGGGAAUCUUACCGGGGGCGACAGCAGAGUGAAGGUCAAGCUGAAGGCUUUACCAGACAAGCUGAGAGGAGGUGCAUGGCCGUCGCCAGCUCGUGCCGUGAGGUGUCCUGUUAAGUCAGGUAACGAGCGAGAUCCCUACCUCUAGUUGCUACUGCUAUUCUCAGGAGUAGCAGAGCUAAUUAGAGGGACCGCCGCCGCUGAGGCGGAGGAAGGAGGGGGCUACGGCAGGUCAGUAUGCCCCGAAACCCUCGGGCCACACGCGGGCUGCAAUGGUAAGGACAAUGGGUUCCUAUUCCGAAAGGAGGAGGCAAUCCCUAAACCUUACCCCAGUUAUGAUUGAGGGCUGAAACUCGCCCUCAUGAAUAUGGAAUCCCUAGUAACCGCGUGUCAUCAUCGCGCGGUGAAUACGUCCCUGCUCCUUGCACACACCGCCCGUCGCUUCAUCGAAGUUGGUUCUUGGCGAGGUUGUAUCUAAUUAGCACUAUCGAACCUGGGGUCAGCAACGAGGGAGAAGUCGUAACAAGGUGGCCGUAGGGGAACCUGCGGCCGGAUCACCUCCUUCGAUUAAGGCCGGCAACUUAAGUGUAAAGGGUCAUGUGCCAUUGUACGUACGAAUGCAAUUCUCUGCAGGAUAUGCAGGGAAUGAAGGACCGAGCAAACGCAAGUUUGCAAUGACCGUCAUGUAUUGGAUAAAUCUGCAUCUCUCAAAUGGUUGUUAGACAUAAUAGUCUGACAGCAAUGAUAGAUGAAAUGUGGCUUUACAAUGUUCACGUAAAGUUUCAAUGCUUUAGACUACGCUGGGAAAACUGGUGCAAAGACGCCGGUUGGUGGAUG